UAGGUGAACCUGCGGAAGGAUCAUUGUCGAAACCUGCCCAGCAGAACGACUCGAGAACCUGUUUCACAUACAACACAUUCAUUGUGGGCUGUUCUCUCGGGAACGCGCCUCUAAUGAUCAACGAACCCCCGGCGCGGAACGCGCCAAGGACUACUCAAACGAGAUCGUCGGGCCAUCGUGCCCCGUACGCGGGUGCAUGGGUGGCGUUGGCGUCUUUAAUAACAUAAACGACUCUCGGCAACGGAUAUCUCGGCUCUCGCAUCGAUGAAGAACGUAGCGAAAUGCGAUACUUGGUGUGAAUUGCAGAAUCCCGUGAACCAUCGAGUCUUUGAACGCAAGUUGCGCCCAAAGCCGUCAGGCCGAGGGCACGUCUGCCUGGGCGUCACGCAUCGCGUCGCUCCCCUCCCGUUGCGGAGCGGGGAGCGGAUGAUGGCCUCCCGUGCCCGACCUUGGACGCGGCUGGCUGAAAUGUUGGUCCUUGACGACUGACGUCACGGCGAGUGGUGGUCGUACCUAGUGUGCUUAUCGUCGCGUCGUGCCCAGUCAUCUUGGGAUUUUGACCCUUUUGAGCUGUGUGAGCUGGCUCUCUGACCGCGACCCCAGGUCAGGCGGGACUACCCGCUGAGUUUAAGCAUAUCAAUAAGCGGAGGA
rnacentral:rRNA from 1 species